rnacentral:rRNA from 1 species
UACGGUGGGGGCAAGCGUUGUUCGGAAUUACUGGGCGUAAAGGGCUCGUAGGCGGCCAACUAAGUCCGACGUGAAAUCCCCAGGCUCAACUUGGGAACUGCGUCGGAUACUGGAUGGCUUGAAUUCGGGAGAGGGAUGCAGAAUUCCAGGUGUAGCGGUGAAAUGCGUAGAUAUCUGGAGGAAUACCGGUGGCGAAGGCGGCAUCCUGGACCGACAUUGACGCUGAGGAGCGAAAGCUAGGGGAGCAAACGGG